rnacentral:rRNA from 1 species
AUUGAACGCUGGCGGCACGCCUAACACAUGCAAGUCGAGCGGCAGCACGGUAAGUAGCAAUACUUAUUGGUGGCGAGCGGCGGACGGGUGAGGAACACGUAGGAACUUGUCGUUUAGAGGGGGACAACCAAGGGAAACUUUGGCUAAUACCGCGUAAUCUCGCAAGAGGAAAGCUGCCCGCAAGGGUGGCGCUAAAUGAGAGGCCUGCGUCCGAUUAGCUAGUUGGUAGGUAAAGCCUACCAAGGCAAUGAUCGGUAAACUGGUCUGAGAGGACGACCAGUCACACUGGGACUGAGACACGGCCCAGACUCCUACGGGAGGCAGCAGUGGGGAAUAUUGGGACAAUGGGGGCAACCCUGGAUCCAGCGAUGCCGCGUGGGUGAAGAAGGGCCUUCGGGUUGUAAAGCCCUUUAGAUCGGGAGAAGUAUGGUGGCUGAAUAUCCAUCAUGUUGACGGUACCGGUAGAAUAAAGCACCGGGC